UGCACUGUGGUAUCUUGCCACUCAGCAGUUUAUUCCUGCUGGUGUGUUCAAAGGACAGUGCAAUAGAAAUUCAGUACAUGGCAUCGUUGGUUUUCUUGCCUUUGUGCAUGUUAAACCUGGUAUUUAAUAUUGACACAUUA
rnacentral:snoRNA from 1 species